rnacentral:rRNA from 1 species
UACGUAGGGGGCAAGCGUUGUCCGGAUUUAUUGGGCGUAAAGAGCGUGUAGGCGGCCAAGCAGGUCAGCUGUGAAAACUCGAGGCUCAACCUCGAGACGUCGGUUGAAACCGCUUGGCUAGAGUUCGGUAGGGGAGACUGGAAUUCCUGGUGUAGCGGUGAAAUGCGCAGAUAUCAGGAGGAACACCGGUGGCGAAGGCGGGUCUCUGGGCCGUAACUGACGCUGAGGAGCGAAAGCAUGGGGAGCGAACAGG